UAUAAAACAGAAGCAGGCCCAUUCAACUGCUUCAAAAAACAGCUGAAACAACAACUCACCACUGCAGGAACUGACCUUAAGACCUCAGAGUGUAUACGACUACACUCAUACGCAGGUGGUGCUCAACAAUCAGGAGGAGAGCAGCAAGAACAGACCACAUCAGGCACAAAGAUUCAGAGAAUAAGCAAACACCAUUCAGGACUUAGGAUUCAAACAUUCCUGAGGAAAAACUUAAGUCAAGGCUUUUCCCUGUUCACAAUAUUCUGUUAACAUUGCCAGAGUUGGGAGAUAUGAGCGUUGCAAACGGGCUGAUCAUCCUGAGAAGACAAUGCGUGGGCGGGCCCAGGACUUGGAGAUCUAACAAUGGUAGUCGUGGAAUGGAGAGUAACACAAAUAAUUAAACUGACCAAGAAAAAUGAUGACCAUCUUCCAGCCACUUUCUAAAAUGGU